rnacentral:rRNA from 1 species
UAAGCAUAUCAAUAAGCGGAGGAAAAGAAACCAACAGGGAUUGCCCUAGUAACGGCGAGUGAAGCGGCAACAGCUCAAAUUUGAAAUCUGGCUCUUUUAGAGUCCGAGUUGUAAUUUGCAGAGGGCGCUUUGGCUUUGGCAGCGGUCCAAGUUCCUUGGAACAGGACGUCACAGAGGGUGAGAAUCCCGUACGUGGUCGCUAGCUAUUGCCGUGUAAAGCCCCUUCGACGAGUCGAGUUGUUUGGGAAUGCAGCUCUAAAUGGGAGGUAAAUUUCUUCUAAAGCUAAAUAUUGGCCAGAGACCGAUAGCGCACAAGUAGAGUGAUCGAAAGAUGAAAAGCACUUUGGAAAGAGAGUCAAACAGCACGUGAAAUUGUUGAAAGGGAAGCGCUUGCAGCCAGACUUGCUUACAGUUGCUCAUCCGGGCUUUUGCCCGGUGCACUCUUCUGCAGGCAGGCCAGCAUCAGUUUGGGCGGUGGGAUAAAGGUCUCUGUCACGUUCCUUCCUUCGGGUUGGCCAUAUAGGGGAGACGUCAUACCACCAGCCUGGACUGAGGUCCGCGCAUCUGCUAGGAUGCUGGCGUAAUGGCUGUAAGCGGCCCGUCUUGAAACACGGACCAAGGAGUCUAACAUCUAUGCGAGUGUUUGGGUGUCAAGCCCGAACGCGUAAUGAAAGUGAACGGAGGUGGGAACCCGCAAGGGUGCACCAUCGACCGAUCCUGAAGUUUACGGAAGGAUUUGAGUAAGAGCAUGGCUGUUGGGACCCGAAAGAUGGUGAACUAUGCUUGAAUAGGGUGAAGCCAGAGGAAACUCUGGUGGAGGCUCGCAGCGGUUCUGACGUGCAAAUCGAUCGUCAAAUUUGGGCAUAGGGGCGAAAGACUAAUCGAUCUUCCUUGGGCCCC